rnacentral:rRNA from 1 species
GACGAACGCUGGCGGCGUGCUUAACACAUGCAAGUCGAACGGAAAGGCCCUGCUUUUGUGGGGUGCUCGAGUGGCGAACGGGUGAGUAACACGUGAGUAACCUGCCCUUGACUUUGGGAUAACUUCAGGAAACUGGGGCUAAUACCGGAUAGGAGCUCCUGCUGCAUGGUGGGGGUUGGAAAGUUUCGGCGGUUGGGGAUGGACUCGCGGCUUAUCAGCUUGUUGGUGGGGUAGUGGCUUACCAAGGCUUUGACGGGUAGCCGGCCUGCGAGGGUGACCGGCCAAAUUGGGCCGGAAAUGCGGCCCAGACUCCUACGGGAGGCAGCAGUGGGGAAUAGUGCACAAUGGGCGGAAGCCUGAUGCAGCAACGCCGCGUGGGGGAUGACGGCCUUCGGGUUGUAAACCGCUUUCGCCUGUGACGAAGCGUGAGUGACGGUAAUGGGUAAAGAAGCACCGGCUAACUACGUG